rnacentral:rRNA from 1 species
GGGGGCCUACGGGACGCAGCAGUGAGGAAUAUUGGUCAAUGGUCGGGAGACUGAACCAGCCAAGCCGCGUGAGGGAUGAAGGUACAGAGUAUCGUAAACCUCUUUUGUCAGGGAACAAAGGCGGGGACGCGUCCCCGGAUGAGUGUACCUGAAGAAAAAGCAUCGGCUAACUCCGUGCCAGCAGCCGCGGUAAUACGGAGGAUGCGCGCGUUAUCCGGAUUUAUUGGGUUUAAAGGGUGCGCAGGCGGAAGCGCCAGUCAGCGGUAAAAUUGAGAGGCUCAACCUCUUCCCGCCGUUGAAACUGG